rnacentral:rRNA from 1 species
UACAGAGGUCUCAAGCGUUGUUCGGAUUCAUUGGGCGUAAAGGGUGCGUAGGUGGCGUGGUAAGUCGGGUGUGAAAUUUCGGAGCUUAACUCCGAAACUGCAUUCGAUACUGCCGUGCUUGAGGACUGGAGAGGAGACUGGAAUUUACGGUGUAGCAGUGAAAUGCGUAGGGAUCGUAAGGAAGACCAGUGGCGAAGGCGGGUCUCUGGACAGUUCCUGACACUGAGGCACGAAGGCCAGGGGAGCAAACGGG